rnacentral:rRNA from 1 species
GUGGGGAAUACUGGACAAUGGGCGCAAGCCUGAUCCAGCAAUGCCGCGUGGGUGAAGAAGGCCUUCGGGUUGUAAAGCCCUUUUGUACGGAAAGAAAUCCUGGUGGUUAAUACCCGCCGGGGAUGACGGUACCGUAAGAAUAAGCACCGGCUAACUUCGUGCCAGCAGCCGCGGUAAUACGAAGGGUGCAAGCGUUAAUCGGAAUUACUGGGCGUAAAACGUGCGUAGGUGGUUUCUUAAGUCUGUCGUGAAAGCCCUGGGCUCAACCUGGGAAUGGCGAUGGAUACUGGGAGGCUAGAGUGCGGUAGAGGAUGGCGGAAUUCCCGGUGUAGCGGUGAAAUGCGUAGAGAUCGGGAGGAACAUCUGUGGCGAAGGCGGCCAUCUGGACCAGCACUCACACUGAGGCACGAAAGCGUGGGGAGCAAACAGGAUUAGAAACCCUAGUAGUCC